rnacentral:rRNA from 1 species
GAUGAACGCUGGCGGCGUGCCUAAUACAUGCAAGUCGAGCGAACGGACGAGAAGCUUGCUUCUCUGAUGUUAGCGGCGGACGGGUGAGUAACACGUGGAUAACCUACCUAUAAGACUGGGAUAACUUCGGGAAACCGGAGCUAAUACCGGAUGAUAUUUUGAACCGCAUGGUUCAAAAGUGAAAGACGGUCUUGCUGUCACUUAUAGAUGGAUCCGCGCUGUAUUAGCUAGUUGGUAAGGUAACGGCUUACCAAGGCAACGAUGCAUAGCCGACCUGAGAGGGUGAUCGGCCACACUGGAACGGAGACACGGUCCAGACUCCUACGGGAGGCAGCAGUAGGGAAUCUUCCGCAAUGGGCGAAAGCCUGACGGAGCAACGCCGCGUGAGUGAUGAAGGUCUUCGGAUCGUAAAACUCUGUUAUUAGGGAAGAACAUAUGUGUAAGUAACUGUGCACAUCUUGACGGUACCUAAUCAGAAAGCCACGGCUAACUACGUG